GGCCAUCAGCUCAGUCGAUGCCCGUAUCGUACCCAGAGCUGCAAGCCCUCUAUCAGCCCUCAUCCCGGAGGUGUGCAUUUUUGUGAGUGAUGGCAAAAAGCGACGUUGCUGAGGAUUACAGCCCUCACAUGUUCUACAUUUGUGUUCUCUAAAGACACCUAAAUGCAAGACUCCAUCCCUUUAGCACAUCUCACAACAGUGUUCUCAAAGCUUUUCCUGAACAAUUAUAGACCCUGUCAGUGACGUGCAAAAAGCUGCACAGGACACGGAGCGGAGGCUGUUGCAGGCAGCACUAUUGAUUUUGGCACCCAGGCUCCCCAGCUCACGAGCACGUGUUGAGCUGGUGGCAGGCCCUGCCACCUGAGUCACUCACACGCAGGAGUACGUCAAUUAAACAAACAUCUCGGUUAUCAGCACCGAUAAGACGCGCAGCCGUGGGAGAUGGUCCCACGUGGCACUACGCAUCAGAAGAUCUCUGAGGCAGGAAAGCCAGCCAAAGUCCUCCGCUGGCCCUGUCACGCAGCCUUGCUCCACCAGGUCCGAGAAGUCUCAGUGGAUUUUAGAUAACCUCCUGACAGAAAUAAUAAGCGCUUCAGAUGAUCUUUUCUGACGAGCAUUUCCAUAACUUCCUCAACUGCCUGAGUCUGCAAAAUGGGGCUGAGAGGGAGCGUGCCUGCGAGAUUUCUGGUACCCUCUGCUUUUGAUCACAGUGGAAAUAAUCUGAGAGCAGGUUUUCAAGGAGAAACACACCGUUUCUUCUUCUGGAUGUCAAAAGGCCACAAGCUAAUGAAAAAGAAUGAAAAGGGCACCAUUAAUAUAUACUGCUUCUGCAACACUUUUCAUCCAAGGAUCUCAAAGCAAGGGUGACAGGUGGCCAUUAUUAACCCCACUUUUCAGGGGAAAUAACAAAGCCUUGGCAAGGUUAAGUAACUUGCUCAGAACUACGUGCCAAGUCAGUGGCAAGACACAGAAGAAAUGGAAGAAAACCCUGCAGUCCUGGCACACUGCAUUUGUGAAGUCCGCCUCCAGAACAGAAUAUAAAGGAGCGCAUUGGCAGUGUGGUCCAGGCUGUGAUGUUGGGUGCUCAGGAUAGGUGUCAUGAAGCUGUAGGCUGUGGUGUUUUGGUGCAGAUCUGGACAUCUGUGCUGCAGAUGAUUCCAUGCUGGUGAAGUGAAUGCCACCAUCACCGUUUUAAUUGCACUUGUUUGCAAGUCCCUAGCAGCGUAGCAGGGACAUUAAAGCAGAAGUGGUAAAU
rnacentral:lncRNA from 7 species